AUGCCUUUUGGUCAAAAGUCAGUAGUUAGUGCAUAAUCUGAUUAAGUUACGUAACUAAGGUGAUAAAUAAGUUCAAAGUUAAGAAAUAUAAGUAAUUCAUGCUAAAAACAGUUAAGAUGUGUGUGUUUGAAAUUUGCUCAGAGUGAGACAUCGUUAUCACAAGCGAUCUUUGUAUUGUAUGUGCGGAAAUGGGAGCGAGGGAGCGCUCUGAUCAUUCACCUAUCUUUGACGUAUUUUCUCCGUUAAUGUUGUGAAAAGUGCUUCGGCAGUAUUAAAACUGUGAAUAAGCUCAUGUACACGCUAAAAGUGCUCUACACGCUUGUACCUUGGGAAACGUUCGUCUUUUUACAAAUAAGAAAUAGAAAGGAGAAGCCUUGAGAGAGGAUAAGGCUUUAAAGGAUCUUCAUUAAAAGCAAGAAAAGCAAGCCUUGUGUGGAAGAUCUCGUCUAUUUUGUUCGCUGGCUGUCUAGCUUCACAUGGUCACGUGUUGUGAGGGCAGCAUAGUAAAAAGACGCCUACUCAGCGGGUUCAAGCAUACGGAGCUACUUUAAGCAACAUGAGUCUACGCUCAGGAAGAAAUUAUCUAAAAGACUACGCUGCUGAAGAGCUAGACGAAGCAGCCGGUGGUGAACAGCAACCAGACAUCGCCACUCAACCAGCUACAAUGCAGCAACGGUUUCAGCCAUUCGACACCAAGUCGCAGCAAUCCAGAACAUCGACAAGGCGGUCUCAACGGACAUCCUCAUCAACAGCUUCUGCAGCUGCAAGGGCCUACGCCAAAGCUCAAGCAGCACGAGCUCAACUGGCCUUCGCUGAGAAGGAAGCCAAUGCAAUGAAACAGAGAGCUGAACUGGAUGCUCAUCUACAUGUCCUCCAGUGCCAAAAAGCAAUAGCCGCAGCUGAAGCAGAGGCUUCAGCCUAUGAAGAAGCAGAGAUUCAAAGCGGGGAGCUCUAUGGAGAACUUUGUGAGGAAGUUGAGCCCAUCAGUACAGUGCACCGCACUAACGAAUAUGUUCAACAACAACGUGAGUUACUCUACCCAGACACUCAGCACGACCCAGCACAGCUUCCUAAAGGGAAUGACAAUGAAGUAGAUGUACAAGACAGUGCACAAAUAACUAAUCCAUUUGUAACCAACACUCAAAUGAAACCACCACCUGUAAACAGAGAAAGGAAACAGGAGCAAACAGUGAACACAUGUGUAGUCGACACGUACUGGUCCAACUCCACAAAGCACACCCCCAACCUUAACAACUGCUUACCUGAAGCAAGUGAAACGCAACAGUUUGCAAAAUACCUAAUUCGCAAAGAACUAGUCAGCACAGGUCUUUUGCAAUUUGAUGACAAACCUGAAAACUAUUGGGCAUGGAAAACCUCAUUCAUCAGCGCAACCAAAGACUUAAAUUUGUCUCCAAGAGAGGAAUUAGACUUGCUAACAAAAUGGUUGGGUCCAACAUCAUCCGAACAGGCUAAGCGGAUUCGUGCUGUACACACCCUCAAUCCUGCUGCAGGUGCGAAGAUGGUCUGGCAACGCCUUGAAGAGUGCUACGGCUCACCUGAGGCUAUUGAGGACGCGCUCUUAAAAAAGGUAGAGGACUUUCCUAAACUCACAAAUAAAGACAAUGUUAAGCUGCAAGAACUUAGUGACAUCUUAUUGGAGCUACAGUGUGCUAAACAAGAUGGCGCGCUCCCAGGACUUGCUUACCUGGACACAGCUAGAGGAGUCAGGCAAAUAGUGGAUAAACUUCCCUUCAACCUACAGGAAAGGUGGACAACUGUAGGAACAGAGUACAAGGAGACUCAUAGUGUGUCAUUUCCUCCUUUCUCAGUUUUCACACAAUUUGUCCAACGGCAAGCGAAAAUGAGGAAUGACCCAAGCUUUGCUAUGUCCAAGGCCAACACCCAUGUCCCUUCUCCCACAGAAAAACUGGGGUCAUAUAGUCGCAAACCUACUGUGUCAACACACAAAAUGGACAUUAUGGCAGAGCCCGACCAGAAUAAUCUCAGUCCAAAGAACAUGGAGGAACCGGAUCGUCAGUGCCCAAUCCACAAAAAACCACAUCCACUCAAAAAGUGUAAAUUUUUUAGAGACAAACCCAUUGAAGAAAGACAAGCCUAUCUCAAAGAGCAUCACAUCUGCUACAGAUGCUGUGGGUCUGUCCAACACAUUGCAAAAAACUGUAAAGCAGUGGUUAAGUGUAUCGAGUGUGACAGCCUUAAACACUUAGCUGCAAUGCAUCGUGGUCCUACUCCUGCCUCUAAGAGUACUACACCAGGAAACAACGACAAUGAAGAGCAAACUGAGAGCUCACCUUCAGUCGAGUCGAAGUGCACAGAGGUAUGUGGCCAAAGUGAUAGCCCACGUUCAUGUUCUAAGAUCAGUUUAGUCAAAGUGUAUCCCGCAGGCCAAAAAGAGAGAGCUAUAAAAAUGUAUGCAGUAAUAGACGACCAGUCCAACAGGUCACUGGUUAAGUCAGAGUUUUUCAGCCUUUUCAAUAUCAAUGCAAGACCCACUCCAUACACCUUAAAGACUUGCUCUGGCAGAGAACAAACCUCAGGUAGGAGAGCUGUGAACUUCUUCCUCGAGUCCUUGGAUGGAGAAGUCAACAUCCAGCUACCCCCUUUAAUUGAAUGUGACUCUGUUCCAGACAAUAGAUCUGAAAUACCCUCUCCAGAGAUUGCCCAGCAUCACUCACAUCUUCUUCCAGUCGCAGAUAACAUCCCACCUGUCGACCACCACGCCCCAAUCCUUUUGCUCCUAGGAAGGGACGUCAUCAGGGUCCAUAAGGUACGUGAGCAAAUCAACGGACCCAACAAUGCACCGUACGCCCAAAGGCUAGACCUGGGUUGGGUUAUUGUGGGGGAGGUGUGUUUAGGAAAAGCGCACAGUCAGUCAGAGGUCAUUGUCUACAAAACACACACCUUAGAUAAUGGACGUGCAUCCUAUUUUGAGCCUUGCCCAAACACAAUUCACGUUAAAGAGAAUUACUGGGUCACUAUGAAUGCUGCCUGCGUCACAGACGAUUUGGGACACUCUGUGUUUGUUAGAUCUGAGGGUGAUAACAAACAAGCCAUGUCUAUCGACGACAAAGCAUUCCUGACAAUGAUGGACAAUGAAGUUUAUCAAAACCAAGAGAACAGCUGGGUUGCACCUUUACCCUUUCGCUCACCGAGAAGGAGGCUCCCUGACAACAGAAAACAAGCCCUAAAACGCCUCUGCUCUCUCCGAAAGACUUUGGAAAAGAAACCAGAAACGAAAGAUCACUACAUCCAAUUCAUGCAGAAAAUGUUGGAUAACAAUCAAGCUGACCAAGCCACUCGGUUCAUUCCAGCACCAGACCUGCAGAACAGUACCUGGUUCUCAGGUCCACCCUUUCUGUACUCUGACACACACACAGAACCACACACUGGUCCUUUCACGCUCAUCGAACCUGAAAAAGACAGAGAGAUACGUCCAGAAAUAAAAGUAAUGAAAACUACUGUAGCAGAGCCACAGUUAGGUUCAGAGCGUUUCAAAAAGUACUCAAACUGGACCACUCUUUGCAGAGUCAUAGCCAGACUCAUUCAUGUAGUUACAUCCUUUGCUCAAAAGACAAGCGGACAAAGGGGAUGGAAAAGUUUCAGUGAGACACCAAAUGUCCAAGAACUCACCCGAGCCAAAGUAGUCAUCAUUCGAGCUGUCCAACAAGAAGCUUACAAAGGGACGCUUGAAAACAUUAAAGAAGGAAAGAAGGACAGUGGCAUAUUUGACGCACUCAAAAAGCUCAAUCCUGUAGUGGACAAAGACAGUCUCUUACGAGUCGGUGGACGUCUUUCCGCUGCCGAUCUCACAGAAAAUGAAAAGCACCCUCUGAUUAUCCCAUCUACCAGCCACAUCGCCAUGCUACUUGUAACUCACUAUCAUGAACAAGUAGCUCAUCAAGGAAGACACAUAACUGAAGGAGCUAUCCGUGGUGCUGGGUACUGGAUAAUUGGAGGGAAGCGGCUCGUGUCAUCUGUCAUUCAUAGGUGUGUCACAUGUCGCAAGUUGCGAGGCAAAAUGCAGAUCCAGAAAAUGGUGGACUUGCCCGCAGACCGAGUCACCCCUGAACCACCCUUUACCACUGUAGGCCUAGAUGUGUUUGGGCCAUGGACAAUUGUGACACGUCGUACAAGAGGUGGUUGUUCCCAGAACAAACGUUGGGCUGUGUUAUUCACAUGCAUGUCAACUAGAGCUGUGCAUAUCGAACUGAUAGAGACUAUGUCUGCUGAUAGUUUUAUCAACGCAUUAAGAAGGCUCUUCUCUAUUCGGGGACCAGCCAAGUUUCUGCGCUCAGACAGAGGCACCAAUUUUGUGGGCGCUUGUAAGGAAUUAGGGCUAGACUCAGGAAACAAAGCAGUAGGGAAGUACCUGCAAGAGAGAGGGUGUGUUUGGACAUUCAACCCCCCUCAUGCGUCGCACAUGGGAGGCUCAUGGGAGCGCCUUAUAGGGGUCGCCAGGCGCAUUCUGGAUGCAAUGUUGUUACAAACUGAACAAACACGUCUUACUCAUGAAGUGUUGUGCACCUUCAUGGCUGAGGUGAUGGCAAUUAUUAAUGCAAGGCCUCUUGUCCCCAUAUCCACUGACCCUGACAGUCCUGCAGUACUCACUCCAGCAAUGCUACUAACGCAGAAGAUGAGUGCUGUGUCUGCUCCACUCGGGAACUUUUCAUCAGGGCAGUUGUUUGGGAAACAAUGGAAACACGUUCAACACCUUGCUGAUACCUUUUGGAAAAGGUGGAAAGGAGAAUAUUUGUCCACCUUACAAAGUCGUGCAAAAUGGACAGAGACUAGACCUAAUGUCAAAGAAGGAGAUGUGGUCCUGCUGAAGGUCUCCCAAGCCAGCAGGAAUGAAUGGCCCAUGGGACUAGUAGUAAAAACAUUCCCCAGCAGCGACAAGAAGGUCCGAAAAGUGGAAGUGCGGACUGUAAAAGAUGGGACUGUUAAAAUGUUUCUCAGACCAGUUUCAGAGAUUGUUGUUUUGCUUGCAGAGACUGAAUGAAUAUUCUUCGAUGUUAAAUAAUGUUUGAAUAUGUUGUAUUGAUGUUUAUAGUGAUAUAAUGUGUUAUAUCAAGCGGGGAGUGUUAUGCCUUUUGGUCAAAAGUCAGUAGUUAGUGCAUAAUCUGAUUAAGUUACGUAACUAAGGUGAUAAAUAAGUUCAAAGUUAAGAAAUAUAAGUAAUUCAUGCUAAAAACAGUUAAGAUGUGUGUGUUUGAAAUUUGCUCAGAGUGAGACAUCGUUAUCACAAGCGAUCUUUGUAUUGUAUGUGCGGAAAUGGGAGCGAGGGAGCGCUCUGAUCAUUCACCUAUCUUUGACGUAUUUUCUCCGUUAAUGUUGUGAAAAGUGCUUCGGCAGUAUUAAAACUGUGAAUAAGCUCAUGUACACGCUAAAAGUGCUCUACACGCUUGUACCUUGGGAAACGUUCGUCUUUUUACAAAUAAGAAAUAGAAAGGAGAAGCCUUGAGAGAGGAUAAGGCUUUAAAGGAUCUUCAUUAAAAGCAAGAAAAGCAAGCCUUGUGUGGAAGAUCUCGUCUAUUUUGUUCGCUGGCUGUCUAGCUUCACAUGGUCACGUGUUGUGAGGGCAGCAUAGAGAGAGAAUGUGAUUCUAAUCCUCCUUCCAGGCACUGUAGCGUCUUGAAUGCAUGGUUGUAAAAAUGUUUAAAAAAAAAGAAAAAAAGUACAAAACCAGAGUGCACAGGAUCUCUUUCAACCGUUGAUUUCCUGCUGUCCCAGUUCCCCAAAGCAACCCAACACAGGCUUUCAGUCUUAAUUCAAAGCAA